UAUGUUCCAAUUACUCUGUGCUCCAUUUGCUAUGAACUGAUAUGUUCUGAAAUGUCCUAUCUGCCAUUGAUAUGUUCCAAUUACUUUAUGCUCCAUUCGUUAUGGAUCAAAUAUAUUUUGAAUGACAUGAUACGUAUGAUUUGGUAUCUAUUGAGAUGGUAUCCUUGAGAAUUCUUGUAUUCUGCCUUGCAUUAUGAUACCUUACUCGUUUCAAACCGUUCCUUUUGUUCUGAAUAUGCUUUGUCACUUGCUGAGCCGUUUUUGGCUCACUCCGUUGUUAUAUAAAUCUUUCAGGUCAGCUUGUCACUCUUCGAGAUGUUUGAUUUGGGCUGAGGCAGUGGAUAGCUAUUCAGAAUGAUGGGCAAGUCUGGUUGGUUAUUACGAUAUUGUUGUAUAAGUAUCUUUUGUAUGUAAUGAAAUGUUGUCGAGGAACCGAAAUGGAUAUACUGUGUCAAGUGUUAGGAGAUCUCUCUUAUUUGGAAUUUCUGAAUGUUAAGUCUAAUUUAUGAUGUUAUGAACUUGUGGUGAAUAGUUGGAGUUCUGAUUGUAUAAUUUAUUUAGCUUGUGGAUUUAUAAAUGUUGUUCAUGUUUGUCAAGUUGGCUUGGGUUGCCAUAAAUGUGAAUUAUCGAGUGAUGUGAUAUAUGAUUAUAAACUGCACAGGUUUUAUAGAUGUGAAUAUGAAUAGAAUGUUUUUCAGUGUCCUCAAACGUUAGUUUGGAUCUUGGAUUGGUCUGUGAUGAAAAUUUUAAAAAAAUCAUGGAUAUUUUGAGGGGCGUGACAGCUAAGGGCUUCAGUAUUGCUAGUCGAGGAGCGACCCUAGUCCUCUGAGCUUCAUGGUUCAAUCACUCCUCUUGAUGUCGUGCGAAAGAGAUGGCUG
rnacentral:lncRNA from 1 species